UGGACAUGUGGGGAGAUCUUUACUAA
rnacentral:piRNA from 1 species